rnacentral:rRNA from 1 species
CAGUCGCCGCGGGAAUACGUAGGGUGCAAGCGUUAAUCGGAAUUACUGGGCGUAAAGCGUGCGCAGGCGGUUCGGAAAGAAAGAUGUGAAAUCCCAGAGCUUAACUUUGGAACUGCAUUUUUAACUACCGGGCUAGAGUGUGUCAGAGGGGGGUGGAAUUCCACGUGUAGCAGUGAAAUGCGUAGAUAUGUGGAGGAACACCGAUGGCGAAGGCAGCCCCCUGGGAUAACACUGACGCUCAUGCACGAAAGCGUGGGGAGCAAACAGGAUUAGAUACCCGUGUAGUCCCUGUCUCUUAUAC